rnacentral:rRNA from 1 species
GUAGGGUGCAAGCGUUAAUCGGAAUUACUGGGCGUAAAGCGUGCGCAGGCGGUUAUGUAAGACAGUUGUGAAAUCCCCGGGCUCAACCUGGGAACUGCAUCUGUGACUGCAUAGCUAGAGUACGGUAGAGGGGGAUGGAAUUCCGCGUGUAGCAGUGAAAUGCGUAGAUAUGCGGAGGAACACCGAUGGCGAAGGCAAUCCCCUGGACCUGUACUGACGCUCAUGCACGAAAGCGUGGGGAGCAAACAGGAUUAGAUACCCUGGUAGUCCACGCCCCUAAACGAUGUCAACUGGUUGUUGGGUCUUCACUGACUCAGUAACGAAGCUAACGCGUGAAGUUGACCGCCUGGGGAGUACGGCCGCAAGGUUG